UGCCAAGUAACUCCUAUCCCUACCUCCUCGUGGCACCGGCCGGCCUAUGGGAGCAACCUUAGGGAAGAUCGGGUAACCAACCCCGGUAGGAACUUUGGUCAUCGACUGACAGGGAAGG
rnacentral:ribozyme from 1 species